rnacentral:rRNA from 1 species
UACGGGGGGAGCAAGCGUUGUUCGGAUUUACUGGGCGUAAAGGGCGCGUAGGCGGUCGUGACAAGUCACUUGUGAAAUCUCCGGGCUUAACUCGGAACGGUCAAGUGAUACUGUCGUGCUAGAGUGCGGAAGGGGCUACUGGAAUUCUCGGUGUAGCGGUGAAAUGCGUAGAUAUCGAGAGGAACACCUGCGGCGAAGGCGGGUAGCUGGGCCGACACUGACGCUGAGGCGCGAAAGCCAGGGGAGCGAACGGG